rnacentral:rRNA from 1 species
UGUAAGCGUAUACCAAAGUUGUUGCAGUUAAAACGCUCGUAGUCGGAAUUUGGCAGUUCCGGAUGUGUGCACGUCGUGUGCGCACUUCGCGGGGAUUGCUUUUGUGGUCUUGCGUAGGAUGAGGCACUUUUAUUAGUGAACGUCCUCACGCAACCACUUUUUACUGUGAGAAAAUCAGAGUGCUCAAAGCAGGCAUUUGCCGUGAAUGUAUUAGCAUGGAAUAAUAGAAUAGGACUUGGUUCUAUUUUGUUGGUUUGUUGGGACUGAGUAAUGAUUAAGAGGGACAGUUGGGGGCAUUUGUAUUUCGGUGCUAGAGGCGAAAUUCUUAGAUUACCGAAAGACAAACUGCUGCGAAAGCGUCUGCCAAGGAUGUUUUCAUUGA